ensembl:lncRNA
CUCCUCCCCUCCCACUUUUGGCCCCCUCUUCCCACUUUCUUCCCCCGCCUCCCCUCUGGCUUUGCUGCCUCUCCUCCCCCCCCCCCACCCUCCGUCCCCCGCGCGCUCUUUCCUCCUUGGAAAUGAUAUCUCCCCUCACCACGAUCCAUGAAUCAACCGCUGCCACCUCAUUGGUCCCCAAACCAUUCCAAGGUUCCAGCAUAAAACCGGGAAAUGAGAAAAGGAAGGUGGACACGGUCCUGGGAAACUGUCUUGUCUGAGGAGCGUUUUGGCGAGAGUGCUAUGCCUUGGCACUGCGUCUUCAACCCCCAACGUUCCCCUCUCCAAGUCUCGCCCACCCUGGAAGACUUAGCCAAGGAGUAAAGGGGCAGGGUUGGGUUUUUUUGUUUUUGUUUGUUUGUUUUUAUUUUUUGUUUUUUCUUUUUUGUUUUUUUUUUGUUUGUUUUUUUAACCCAGAAUGUUUUGUGCUCCUGGGUGGGUGGCGCUAGAGAUUUGGGUCUGAAAUGACAGUUGGUUAAUUCAGCCGUGUACCCUGGACCCUGUGAUGAUAGUAACUUUACUCCUAGCACACCUUAUGGAGGACGCACAGUAAUGCCUGCAGCGGAGGGUGAGCACCUCUUUCCUAUUUCUGAAACAAAAUACAGGAAGAACAGAAGCACCCAUAGCAACCUUGGCUCUCUGUUGCCCUCUUGGAAAGCUUUAAAUAGCUUUGGACAAAUUUCUGUUCCAGGAUUGGGAAAGGAUUUGAAGAGUGUUAAAGGAAAGCCAUCGUGGGUUACAUUCUUGUUCCAGGACAUGGCCGCUUGCUUGAGGUUGUCCAAAUGAGAGUGCGAAGGAAAGACUGAGUUCCCGUCAAAUUAGGGUUCAUCUUGCUCCUCUUUCAGCCAGUUCUCAAAGAUGUCUUCCCCAGGUUUUGACUAAAGAGCGAAGCAUAUGAUCACACAACUCUGCCAUGUGUUUACUGUAACUUAUCAUGGCUAAGUACUGCACGGAAAGUGGCUUCACAAUUUUUAAAAAUACAUAUCCUCUGGUAGAAAAUAUGAAAUUGGAUGACAUCAUACGCCACUAAAAAUACUUUAGAAUAUUGGUUUUAAUUUUCUCACAUCUGGUUAGAAUAAAACUUCUUUUUUCCUGGUGUAAACUCUGAG